CGCAUCAUUAUUUUUCAGUGUCACUGUUUAACAACUGUCCAGGACGCAGAAAACAGUAAACAGAACCCCAGAAGAAGGAUAACAGAUAUUGGAACUAGGAAUUUCAUCAUCAACUGAAAAUGGAAAUGAAUAAAUCUCAGAAAGAGAAAUGAAAUGAGAAUGGAAAUUCUGAAAUGCUGAUGUCAACAGAAUGUGCAGUACACAUACAUUAUAUUGUAUGUAUGUAUGUAUGUAUGUAUGUUGCGUUUAGUUAAGCAAGGGUUAGUGCGGGAGUGCGCGAGUGUUGUAAUACAGUGCGGGAGUUCUGAGAUAUUUAAUAAUUACUUUACAGAUGCAUCAACAGUUUAUACACAUUUUUUAACUGCACGAAAAGUCAUAGUCAUUGAAUUAAUUGUCAUGUUGCACGUUGUUGUUUUGCUUUUGAAUGCGAAACAAGAAGAUCCUUCUAUCCUGAGGGCCAAAGAGAGAUGACGCGUUCUAUUUAAAUAAGGCUCAUUUCAUAAGAAGUUGAAAAGCCGAAGAAGAUGAUGUUAUCCGUCCCCGCCGAGGUCGAUCCUGAAGGUUCCAAAUCAGUCAGAUUUCUAGCUGCCCCGAAGGGUCAGGGCCUGAUGUGUAUACCCAUCAAGGAAUGGGUUCCUACCCUCGCAAAGCUAAAAAGAAACUGAGCUGGAGAAGAGGCCGAUGUGGAGCAGUUGCAUCCACGCCGCGGUCGAUCCUGACGUAUCCAGCUUCUCAGCGAGAACAAGCCUUUGGGGGUCAGGGCUCGAUGUGUAUACCCAUCCAGGAAUGGGCUGCUGCCUCUAGGGGUAUAAACAGCCGCCAAGAUGCUGAGAAGCUGGGUUACAACAUUUCUUGCCAAUGUCGGGAUUUAACUAAUAGAGGGCAUGCGACAACAACAACUAUCCAGCACCAAAAAAUUUAUUGUUAUAAUUUUUUUAAUUGCUUUGAUGUUUUUUGUUUUAGUUUUGCCAAAAGAACUUGAAAGUUAAGAAGACGAAACAUUAUAAUGGAAGAUGUCAUAUUCUAUAGAGAACAUAAAAUUGAUCUACAAAUGUCAGAAUGAGAUAACGCAAGGUUGUGUUUCAUGUGUUCACGAGCAGUUCGUAGUGUAGUGUAGUGUAGUCAUAGCAAGCGCGUAGUCGUAGGUUGUAGUUGUAGCUGUAGUCGUAAUCUAGAAGUAGUGUAGUGGACUGCAAAAUGAACACAGAGAUACAAUCGUUGCAAAUGUAACUGACUGCGUUUAUUGAUGAGAUGUGAAGAUGCAGAUCGACAGUAAUUGUUCCGGAACGACCUGAAGAAACACUCAACUCUUGCCACCGUCGACGUCUACCAAGAGAGACCCGGGGCAAAGAAGCAACAUUUUGUUUUGAUAUCACGAUUUUUAAAUAAAUAAAAUCGAGACAUUAUUACAAUAUA